GCCUGGGUGGCUCAGUUAGUUGAGCAUCUGACUUUGGCUCAAGUCAUGAUCUCACAGUUCGUGAGUUUGAGCUCCAUCUCAGGCU
rnacentral:tRNA from 1 species